UCGUUAAAAAACGAUAUAUCGACCGCGACCCCAGGUCAGGCGGGACUACCCGCUGAGUUUAA
rnacentral:rRNA from 1 species